UACGUAGGGUGCGAGCGUUAAUCGGAAUUACUGGGCGUAAAGCGUGCGCAGGCGGUGAUGUAAGACCGAUGUGAAAUCCCCGGCUUAACCUGGGAACUGCAUUGGUGACUGCAUUGCUGGAGUAUGGCAGAGGGGGGGUGGAAUUCACGUGUAGCAGUGAAAUGCGUAGAGAUGUGGAGGAACACCGAUGGCGAAGGGCAGCCCCCUGGGCCAAUACUGACGCUCAUGACACGAAAGCGUGGGGAGCGAAACA
rnacentral:rRNA from 1 species